rnacentral:rRNA from 1 species
GACGAACGCUGGCGGCGUGCCUAAUACAUGCAAGUUGAGCGCUGAAGGUUGGUACUUGUACCGACUGGAUGAGCAGCGAACGGGUGAGUAACGCGUGGGGAAUCUGCCUUUGAGCGGGGGACAACAUUUGGAAACGAAUGCUAAUACCGCAUAAAAACUUUAAACACAAGUUUUAAGUUUGAAAGAUGCAAUUGCAUCACUCAAAGAUGAUCCCGCGUUGUAUUAGCUAGUUGGUGAGGUAAAGGCGCACCAAGGCGAUGAUACAUAGCCGACCUGAGAGGGUGAUCGGCCACAUUGGGACUGAGACACGGCCCAAACUCCUACGGGAGGCAGCAGUAGGGAAUCUUCGGCAAUGGACGAAAGUCUGACCGAGCAACGCCGCGUGAGUGAAGAAGGUUUUCGGAUCGUAAAACUCGGUUGGUAGAGAAGAACGUUGGUGAGAGUGGAAAGCUCAUCAAGUGACGGUAACUACCCAGAAAGGGACGGCUAACUACGUG